CCGCGCCCCCCACCCCAGUGCGCGCCUUCUGCCCGGAGCUCCUCGCCCUGGGGACAGCUGGCAGCCCGCGCAGGACCAGACACAAAGCCGAUCAAUCCCGGCGGCGCGGGGGUGGGGGAACGACCCGCCAAGGCUUUCCCUUCCGCUGCUUGAUUACUGCUGCCCCACCACCACCACCACUAGGACCCGGCGGACACCUUGGGUCGCUUCCACGCCCCCAGCCCACUCCCCUCCUUAAAAAAAAGAACGGCCCGGAGCCCCCAUCCCAGGACCGGACGAUUGAAGACCGGCCUCUUGGCACCCUGCGGAGAAGGCGCCCGGGGAAGAGAAACUGACAUCCCUUCGGGACCCGCCCCUCCCCUCCGCUUCCUCGGCUGCACUACUCUCUGCUCCUCGGCAGCCCCAGAAGUUCGGGGCCCCCGCCCGCCUCCCGCGCUCCUGCCGCCGGGACCCUGGACCUCCGCGCCCAGCAGCUAGCUCCGGCCCCGGGAAGAUGGCGAGGGGGAGCAGCCACCGCCUCCUCCUGCUGUUGCUGCGCUACCUGGUGGUCGCCCUGGGCUAUCAUAAGGCCUAUGGAUUAUCUGCCCCCAAAGACCAUCAAGUUGUCACAGCUAUAGAGUACCAAGAGGUUAUUUUAGCCUGCAAAACCCCAAAGAAGACCAUUUCUUCCAGAUUAGAGUGGAAGAAACUGGGGCGGAGUGUCUCCUUUGUCUACUAUCAACAGGCUCUCCAAGGUGAUUUUAAAGAUCGAGCUGAGAUGAUAGAUUUCAGUAUACGAAUCAAAAAUGUGACAAGAAGUGAUGCUGGGAAAUAUCGUUGUGAAGUUAGUGCCCCAUCAGAGCAAGGCCAAAACCUGGAAGAGGAUACAGUCACUCUGGAAGUACUAGUGGCUCCAGCAGUACCAUCCUGUGAAGUACCCACUUCUGCUCUGAGUGGAACUGUGGUAGAGCUACGAUGUCAAGAUAAGGAAGGGAUUCCAGCUCCUGAAUAUACAUGGUUUAAGGAUGGUAACCGUUUACUAGGAAAUCCAAAACUUGGCUCCCAAAGCAGCAACAGCUCAUAUACAAUGAAUACAAAAUCUGGAACUCUGCAAUUUAACACUGUUUCCAAGCUCGACAGUGGAGAAUACUUCUGUGAAGCCCGAAAUUCUGUUGGAUAUAGCAGGUGUCCUGGGAAACGAAUGCAAGUAGAUGAUCUCAACAUAAGUGGCAUCAUAGCAGCUGUAGUAGUUGUGGCCUUAGUGAUUUCUGUGUGUGGCCUUGGUGUGUGCUAUGCUCAGAGAAAAGGCUACUUUUCAACUGCCAUGGUUUCAGAUACACUGUCAUCUACAUCUUUUGAAGACUUAGCUACCAUUGAUUUCCUGUUCCCAGAUGCCUGGCCCCAUCCCUCAUAAUAUCCCAGUACAAAUCCAGGGUGAAAUCCAAGUUAUCAGGACUAGGAGUAGCAAAGGAGGAAGGGUAGUUCUUCAUCUAAAGCCCCUACAUUGAGUGAAAAUGAUUUCAAGCACACAAAAUCCUUCAUAAUUUAAAAGAAUUCUACUUUUAAGAUACACCAAAACCACAGUUGUUACAGAUAUUAAAGUAUUAUAAAACUCUGCUUUGUCUUAAUUUGCAAAGAGGUACAUAACAAAAUGAAAUUGAUAUUUCAUUAUGGUUUUUUAUGACUUGAUUUACCUAAAAUUGUUAUUUUAAGCAAAUAGUUCUGUCAUUAUCCAAAAUAUGAUCUGGCUUCUUUUGUCUGGGCUAAAGAACAGGAAUCAAAUUACUUUAAAAUAUUUUGAUAUUUGUGAAAUGUUAACUAAUGUUCUAACUUUUAGAGAAAGUUAUUACAUCAUACUGAUUGUGAAGUUAAUCCACAAAUCAAGCAAAUACAACCUGCAGACACCCUGUGUGCCAGAGUGUUAUCUAGGAGGUUAAGAAAAUACUAAUAGAUGCAAAAGGAUUCUCUGGUCUCAUUUCUACCAAAAUCCUCUUUAUAAUAUAAUUCUUAUUCCAUUGCUCAUGUUAUCACUAAUGUACCCACAAAAGGGAGGCAGUGAGGUUGGGUCUUAUACCCAAGGGUUUGCACUUUGUAUUUACUUUCAUCUCUGAGAACCAAAAGUGACAUGAAGAGAAAUAGCUAAUGACCAGGUCUCACAGGUGUGCAUAGGACUCACCUGGUGUGUGUUAUUUAUAAAUUUUGAGAAGUAAAUACAAACCCAAAUGGGCUUAUUUUAUCCUCACUGAUGCUUGCUGCUAUUUCCUUUCCCUAAGACUCCUUUGAAGAGGCUCCAUGACCUUGACAUCAAGGCUCAACAAUGGUGCCCACAUAACUUUUCAGGUAUCUUUUGCUGCAUGAGUGGUGGCUUCAAAUCCCUGUCUCUAAAAAUCGUUCAUUGAAAUUCUGGGCUGGAUCAAGUCCUUCACUGUUAAAGCCAAGGGAUUGCCAAUCCUUUUUAUGGCAAGUCAGGGAUUAGGAAAUAAGUGAUUGUCUGGUAAAUAAAAUAUAAGUAAAUGAACUCACUGCCACUCCCUGCCUCUGGCACCUGCUUGAGUCAUAAAAGGCACUUGAGGAAUGAUGGUUGAAAUAAAAAAUGGGUCUAACCAUCUGUUUUCUGAACUGAUUAACCACAAAAACCUCCAACUAGUGUUAGAAUAUGAAAAUUCCAACAGGUAGCUUAAUAGUAAGAGCAAUUAAUCUGUGUAAAAAAAAAGCAAUAUCUUUUAGAACUGCUUUUGAUUAUUUAAUCCAUAUUAAAAACAAAAUAUGGCUACAGCAUAUCCUGUUAUUCCAGGAAAAUCUAGAUGAAAAGUUGAUUCAUGACCUUUGACAACUUUGGCCACCAUUAAGUCAUUUUCAGAGGAAUCUGCUCUUGUCACCCAGUAGCAAAGCAGAGCCCCAGCUUUCACUGAGCAAAUGGAUUAAGCACUCACCGAAUGCCUGCUGUACAUCUGGACACCAGGUCACUGGGAAGAUGCCUUUUGUCAGCCUGCUCCCUUUGACUUGUCUGUGGCAUUUGAUGCUCCUCACUAGAGUCCUUUCUGGUUUCUAUAACAUGUUCUGCCCCCAAAAUCAAAUUAUCACUAUUAGCGAUUAGCAAACUUUCUGUAAAGGGCAAGAUAGUAGAUAUUUUAAACCAUAUGGCUCCUGCUACAACUACUAGACUCUGCCAUUGUCACCCAAAAGCAGCCACAAAAAUGAGCAUGUCUGCAUCCCAAUAGAAACGUAGCAAGCACAAACAGGAUUUGGCCCACAGGCAUAGUUUCCCAACUCCUGGUGGCAACCGAUGGAAAACACCUAUCUAUAAAUUUUUCUAAAUGCUGCUUUAAUUUAAAUAACACAAAUUCAUAUUAUAAGAAGAAACUUAAGUAGUGCCUUAACUUCACUAAAUAGAGGAAAAGUUUCUUUUUUAAGCUAUUAAAGGCUAGAUAUCAAUUCAUUUUAUGCAGUAUAAACAUCUAACAGUCUUUGUGCCAAAUAUAUCUUGUACAGUAUCUUAAAAUAUUGUAUACAGCUAAGUCAAAAUCAUUAUGUAAAAAUGGUUUCUUCUACACAUAGGAUAUAGUGUGAGCACUAAUUUUCUAAUUAUUAAAAAGUUGUCUAUCUGUGGAUCACUGGUAUCUGGGCUGUUUCUGUGUGUGUGUGUGUGUGUGUGUGUGUGUGUGUGUGUGUGUAUGUGUUGUUGUUGUUUUAUGAACUUGAACACAAACAACUGGUAAAAUCCCAUUGUAAUUCUUAGAAUUUUAUUUAUUUUCAUGCAGUGAUAUUGUAUUGUAUGAAGAUUGAGGCUCUAGAAUCAAUAAUAGUUUGUUUUAUUUUAAUAUUGUUGCUGUUGUAACUAGAUUCACUUUAUUUUUAGUUGGGGGUUUAACCUAACUAAAUCUAGAACGAUGGAUUGUUUUUCCAUACAACUUAACAAAGAACUUCCUUCAGUCCA